UCCUGAAGAACAAUAAAAACAUCACCAUUUCCCAAGAAGACUCAUGGCAAUUGCAAAUCCUUUUAUAAGGCUAAUGAAACUGCAUCCCUUGGUCUAAAUACAGUCAUGACUUUAUGUCAUAUGACAUCCAGCCCUACAAAAUCGUAGAAGUCCACAGAAGCUAGUGAUGGAGCUCAGGCCCAGUUGCAAAAUUCUGCACAACUUUGUGGUGACAACACUGCCAAGUAAACUUCAAGGGGUAUAAUCCAUCUUUCACAGAGUAAUUUCCAUUAAGUUCAAUUUCCUGGGUCAUCAUAUUGUAAAGAAAGAGGAAUCUACUUAUUCACAAUUGCUUUGAAGACUCUGAGUGCAGAUGCAGUGAAUUACACUCAUUUGAUUGCUAAAGCUCAGCAGAUAGAGAAGGUCUUUAAUCACCCUUAAAAAUAUUUUACUGGGUUUUAUUUUGUAUGAUACUCCUUCCAGGUAUCUGACAUACUGUACAAUGUAAAUCAGUAAAAUAAACACCUAAUAAAAUUAAUAUUUA